rnacentral:rRNA from 1 species
GACGAACGCUGGCGGCGUGCCUAAUACAUGCAAGUAGAACGCUGAAGGAGGAGCUUGCUUCUCUGGAUGAGUUGCGAACGGGUGAGUAACGCGUAGGUAACCUGCCUGGUAACGGGGGAUAACUAUUGGAAACGAUAGCUAAUACCGCAUAAUAGCAGUUGUUGCAUGACAACUGUUUGAAAGGUGCAAUUGCACCACUACCAGAUGGACCUGCGUUGUAUUAGCUAGUUGGUGGGGUAACGGCUCACCAAGGCGACGAUACAUAGCCGACCUGAGAGGGUGAUCGGCCACACUGGGACUGAGACACGGCCCAGACUCCUACGGGAGGCAGCAGUAGGGAAUCUUCGGCAAUGGACGGAAGUCUGACCGAGCAACGCCGCGUGAGUGAAGAAGGUUUUCGGAUCGUAAAGCUCUGUUGUAAGAGAAGAACGAGUGUGAGAGUGGAAAGUUCACACUGUGACGGUAUCUUACCGGAAAGGGACGGCUAACUACGUG